rnacentral:rRNA from 1 species
AUUGAACGCUGGCGGCAGGCUUAACACAUGCAAGUCGAGCGAGCGGCGGACGGGUGAGUAAUGUCUGGGAAAAUGCCUGAUGGAGGGGGAUAACUACUGGAAACGGUAGCUACUACCGCAUACCAUCAGAUGUGCCCAGAUGGGAUUAGCUAGUAGGUGGGGUAAUGGCUCACCUAGGCGACGAUCCCUAGCUGGUCUGAGAGGAUGACCUGCCAAACUGGAACUGAGACACGGUCCAGACUCCGACGGGAGUCAGAAGUGGGUAGUAGUGCACAAUGGGCGCAUGCCGGAUGCGGCCAUGCCGCGUGUGUAAAGAAGGCCUUCGGGUUGUAAAGCACUGGCAUCGAGGAGGCGUUACUCGCAGAAGAAGCACCGGCUAACUCCGUGCCAGGAGCCGCGGUAAUUC